AGUCGAGGGGUAUAUGUCUUCGGAUAUAGAGACCGGCGCACGGGUGCGUAACGCGUAUGCAAUCUACCUUUUACAGAGGGAUAGCCCAGAGAAAUUUGGAUUAAUACCUCAUAGUAUAGUGACUCGGCAUCGAGAUACUAUUAAAGUCACAACGGUAAAAGAUGAGCAUGCGUCCCAUUAGCUAGUUGGUAAGGUAACGGCUUACCAAGGCUACGAUGGGUAGGGGUCCUGAGAGGGAGAUCCCCCACACUGGUACUGAGACACGGACCAGACUCCUACGGGAGGCAGCAGUGAGGAAUAUUGGACAAUGGGCGCAAGCCUGAUCCAGCCAUGCCGCGUGCAGGAUGACGGUCCUAUGGAUUGUAAACUGCUUUUGUACGAGAAGAAACACUCCAACGUGUUGGAGCUUGACGGUAUCGUAAGAAUAAGGAUCGGCUAACUCCGUGCCAGCAGCCGCGGUAAUACGGAGGAUCCAAGCGUUAUCCGGAAUCAUUGGGUUUAAAGGGUCCGUAGGCGGUUUAGUAAGUCAGUGGUGAAAGCCCAUCGCUCAACGGUGGAACGGCCAUUGAUACUGCUAAACUUGAAUUAUUAGGAAGUAACUAGAAUAUGUAGUGUAGCGGUGAAAUGCUUAGAGAUUACAUGGAAUACCAAUUGCGAAGGCAGGUUACUACUAAUGGAUUGACGCUGAUGG
rnacentral:rRNA from 3 species